rnacentral:rRNA from 1 species
AUUGAACGCUGGCGGAAUGCUUUACACAUGCAGGUCGAGCGGCAGCGCGGGGGCAACCCUGGCGGCGAGCGGCGAACGGGUGAGUAACACAUCGGAACGUACCCAGUUGUGGGGGAUAGCCCGGCGAAAGCCGGAUUAAUACAGCACACGACCUGAGGGUGAAAGGGGGGGAGCGCAAGACACUUCGCAGUAGCAGCGGCCGAUGGCGGAUUAGCUAGUUGGGGAGGGAAAGGCUUACCAAGGCGACGAUCCGUAGCCGGUCUGAGAGGACGACCAGCCACAAUGGAACUGGGACACGGUCCAGACUCCUACGGGAGGCAGCAGUGGGGAAUUUUGGAAAAUGGGGGCAACCCUGAUCCAGCCAUUCCGCGUGAGUGAAGAAGGCCUUCGGGUUGUAAAGCUCUUUCGGCAGGAACGAAACGGUGGAGGCUAAUACCUUUCAUCAAUGACGGUACCUGAAGAAGAAGCACCGGCUAACUACGUGCCAGCCGCCGCAGUAA